GACAAAGAUAUCGAGAGAAUAAUGUUAGUAUUAAAUUGAGGAGAGUCUAGAUAGACUCUUGCAUGUAGUCAAAGGCUUGGCUAUGGUGAUAGGUCAACGCAUAAUCCAUGGCCAAAGCGCUACUAAUGAUAAUAAUGUUAGUAUUAGUAACACCCAGGUGAUGGUGAAAAAUAAUAAAAAACUCAAUGAAAGAUUCAAGAGGAUGAACCCACCACCAUUUGCUGGAGCAACCGACUCAAUAUUAACCGAGCAAUGAAUCAUGAAGUUAGAAAAGAUGUUCGAGGUUUUUAGCCCCACUUUAGAGCAAAAGGUAUAAUUAGUUACAUCAUGUUCAAGGGAGUUGCAGAACAUUGGUAGUACCUAAAGAAGGGAUCCCUAAGGACACUAAUCCUUUGGGAAGCAUUUGGAGUGACAUUCUAUGGGAAGUAUUUUUUUGACUUUGUUUAAUAACAUAAACAAAUGGAGUUCCUAGAGUUAAAGCAAGGGAAAAUGAGAGUGGCA
rnacentral:lncRNA from 1 species